CGGAGGGAUCAUUACCGAGUUUACAACUCCCAAACCCCUGUGAACAUACCACUUGUUGCCUCGGCGGAUCAGCCCGCUCCCGGUAAAACGGGACGGCCCGCCAGAGGACCCCUAAACUCUGUUUCUAUAUGUAACUUCUGAGUAAAACCAUAAAUAAAUCAAAACUUUCAACAACGGAUCUCUUGGUUCUGGCAUCGAUGAAGAACGCAGCAAAAUGCGAUAAGUAAUGUGAAUUGCAGAAUUCAGUGAAUCAUCGAAUCUUUGAACGCACAUUGCGCCCGCCAGUAUUCUGGCGGGCAUGCCUGUUCGAGCGUCAUUUCAACCCUCAAGCACAGCUUGGUGUUGGGACUCGCGUUAAUUCGCGUUCCCCAAAUUGAUUGGCGGUCACGUCGAGCUUCCAUAGCGUAGUAGUAAAACCCUCGUUACUGGUAAUCGUCGCGGCCACGCCGUUAAACCCCAACUUCUGAAUGUUGACCUCGGAUCAGGUAGGAAUACCCGCUGAACUUAAGCAUAUCAAUAAGCGGAGGAAAAGAAACCAACAGGGAUUGCCCUAGUAACGGCGAGUGAAGCGGCAACAGCUCAAAUUUGAAAUCUGGCUCUCGGGCCCGAGUUGUAAUUUGUAGAGGAUACUUUUGAUGCGGUGCCUUCCGAGUUCCCUGGAACGGGACGCCAUAGAGGGUGAGAGCCCCGUCUGGUUGGAUGCCAAAUCUCUGUAAAGUUCCUUCAACGAGUCGAGUAGUUUGGGAAUGCUGCUCUAAAUGGGAGGUAUAUGUCUUCUAAAGCUAAA
rnacentral:rRNA from 1 species